UACGAAGGGGGCUAGCGUUGCUCGGAAUCACUGGGCGUAAAGGGUGCGUAGGCGGGUCUUUAAGUCAGGGGUGAAAUCCUGGAGCUCAACUCCAGAACUGCCUUCGAUACUGAGAGUCUCGAGUCCGGGAGAGGUGAGUGGAACUGCGAGUGUAGAGGUGAAAUUCGUAGAUAUUCGGCAAGAACACCAGUGGCGAAGGCGGCUCACUGGCCCGGUACUGACGCUGAGGUGCGAAAGCGUGGGGAGCAAA
rnacentral:rRNA from 1 species